rnacentral:misc_RNA from 1 species
GUGUUGUUUUGAGUGGCGUCAGCUGGUGCUCUCCCUCACUCUCUCCCUCACACUCUCCCUCACACUCUCCCUCCAGCACCUGUGUACUACACCUCACCCAGUGUUACGUGGAAGGUCAGGUGUGUAGGAGACGGGUGUGGCUGGCACCAGUGUUGGCAGAACGUUGAGCACCAUGUUGGUGUGGCGACUCGGCACGUGCAUCUUGGUGUGUGUGUUGGUGUGUGGAGAGGCAGGUGCCCACACACACCACCUCCACAAUGCCCAGAAGGAGAGGGAAGCUGACGGCGCGCGGAGCCCCCGGGAUCACGGCCACUAUGCUGAUGGCCAGCAUAACUCUGAAUUUGAUCACGAAGCCAUUCUAGGAAGCACCAAGGAUGCUGAGGAGUAUGAUCAGUUACCGGCUAGUGAGUCCAAACGCAGGUUGGAAAUCCUUCUUUUGAAAAUGGAUCGCAACAAUGACAAGCAAAUAGAACGUAGGGAAUUGCAUUCUUGGAUCCUGCGAUCAUUCAGAAUGCUGUCUGAAGAGGAAAGUUCAGAGCGAAUGGAUGAGGUAGAUGAAGAUGAGGAUGGCUUUGUCACAUGGUCUGAGUACAUUUCUGAAACUUAUGGUAUAACGGAUCCCGAUGACCAACAACUUCUUGAAAAAGAAGACCAAGCUGAAGAACAAAGAUUGCUGCGAGAGGAUCGACAACUCUUCAAUGCAGCUGAUAAGAAUAUUGAUGGACGACUUGAUGACAAGGAAUUUUUAGCUUUCACCCAUCCGGAAGAGCACCCAGACAUGCUUCCUGUUGUUCUGCAGCAAACUCUUGACGAGAAGGACACCAACAAUGAUGGUGUUAUUGAUUUCCAAGAGUACAUUGGUGAUAGAGAAUCUGAAGAUGAGGACGAUGGGAUAUCCAACCGUGAAUUUGUAAGAAAACAUAAACCCAAAUUUAAGGAACUGGAUAUAAAUAAAUCUGGGCUUUUAGAGAAGGAAGAAGUAGGGUCAUUGGCAUACUCCAUCAAGGACAUAGCUGAAGAUGAGGUGGAUCAUCUAUUUGGCGCUGCAGAUGAUGAUGGAGAUGACUUGUUGUCAUUCCUGGAGAUCCUCGAUCACCAUGACGUGUUUGUAGGAUCCGAGGCAACAGACUAUGGUGACCACCUUCAUAAUCUAGAUCGCUUUGAGGACGAGUUGUGAGAAAAUUGGUAAUUUUUUUGAUAGCUAUUGUGAGGAGGGAAGAUAAAGGCACUUACAAGAUAUAGCAUAGAUGUUAAGGUCUGAACUGUCUUCAACUGGUGCACCGAGUUACUGUAGUAAGACUCUAAAUAUCAAGAAGCCCAAAAAAACACCAACACUAAACAAUUGCCUUGGUGUUGAGAAUGGUGGAGGCAGUGUUGUUAGUGUUUAUUUUCCUUUGUAUUAGGGUGUUUUUUUUUUUUUAAGCCAUAAAGGCAGGAGGCAAUAUACAGAAGGUCUUGUGACUGGUGUAGUUUGGUCAUCACUCACUACCUCAAGAGACUGGCAACCUUCCUUCAACAUAUUGGUUGCUGAUGGUUGUUAUGAAACUGUCCUUCUGUAUUUUCCCGGUGUCUUUCAGGUUGUCUCUGAAUAGAGUAAUGAAAGUUAAGAUUUGAUAAUUACCAUUGCAAAAGGCAGCUCUAGUUAAACCAAAUCAUUAGGUGCUUAUUUAAAUAUUUGCAAGAAAGUGAUCAUAAACUUGUUCAGAGUGAGAAUUUGUUAAACUAACAUCCUUAAUCAUGAAAUGUUUUGAUGUUGCAGAGAUGUGAUUCACAUUAUAUUGUUUGCUUCCAAAGCAUAUAGUGAACAUUACUAGUGUUGCUAGUGAAUAUGCAUUAAAUGAAUGAAUUGGAAGCUGUGAAAGUUUGUUAUUUUGCCACAAUAUUUGUCACUACUGUAUUUGUCUUCCUUUCUUGCCAAGAUACAUUCAUCUACAGCUUUAUUCCUACAUCAGUUUUGUUUUAUUGUGUGUUAAAGUGGAUAGCUAUAGGUGAAUGUACAAUAUUUGCUUUAAUGAAUAAAUAAGAACCUACAUUUUUGGAACAAUGGGAGGUCUUGUAUAAAUGUGCAUAUCUUUAAUUAAGAGUAGAUUACUAGAAAUAAAUUUAGAAGUACAAGUGUCCAGAUAUGUUGUUGCAGCUUCACUCUUUGUGUAUGUAGUAAUGAGAAGGUGAAAUAUGCAAUUAGAAGUACAAGAGAGGUAGAUAUAAAACUAUGUUGACAUCAUUGAUUUUUUAAAUGUACGUGACAAGAGGCCAAAGUGUUUUGGGCCGUCUUUAUUUAAAUUUUGCUAUUUAUUCUUUUAUAUGCAUAUUUAAUUAUGUAAAAGUAUAUAAUAUCAACACAAUUACAGAAAACUAACUUAUUUCCUAUCUUGUCUUGUGUGUAUGUGUUCGGUUAAUGUAUAGUGUUUUGAAUUUGCCCUUAUCAGUUACCAAAGACAUUUAUAUAAACGACACAUUAUAUGAGCUGUAUGUAACUGGCUGUAUGUGCUGCACGAGUCUUUCUUUUCCUACACUUCUCUCAAUAAAAUAAUAUUAAAGCAUAAAAUUCUGAUAUUAGCAGAUUUAUUAUGUAUUCUGUAAUAAAGGUCCUUUACAUGUACCCUUCAUAGGGCAUUAUUAAGUGAUGGAAUUUGAAACACUUUAUACUGUAAAGCAAGUAUGAUGUACAGCCAGGUGUAAUUUGACUGUUUACCCCUAAGUGCCAUGUGUCUAAUAAAUGUACAUGAUUUU